rnacentral:rRNA from 1 species
AGCGCAACCCUUAUUGCUAGUUACCAUCAUUGAGUUGGGGACGUCUAGCGAGACUGCCAGCGAUAAGCUGGAGGGAAGGUGGGGAUGACGUCAAAUCAUCAUGCCCCUUAUGACCUGGGCUACAAACGUGAUACAAUGGCUGGAACAAAGGGAGGCGAAGGGGUGACCUGGAGCGAAACCCAAAAAUACAGUCUCAGUUCGGAUUGAAGUCUGCAACUCGACUUCAUGAAGUCGGAAUCGCUAGUAAUCGCGGAUCAGAACGCCGCGGUGAAUACGUUCUCGGGGUUU